CGCAAUGUGCGGUCGCAAAAGGGGACCACAAUGACGGCCGGUUAAAUUAGAAAUAAAUAAAUAGUAAAAUAAUAAAAGAGCCAUAAGGCAUAGCAAGCACAGCAGCUCAAUCGCCCAAUCAAUUCCGAGUCCAGUGCGUUUGUCAGUUAAACAAUGUAUCAGUGAAAUGCUUAAUACGGUUCGUGUGUAACGAAAACAAGUCAUCAAAAAUCGCUGAAACUAACGGUUAAGCAAGGUAAAAUUAAAAGUGUCUAUACACUUUCAUGUAAAAUAUUAUGAUUUGUUCGCAAAACGCUUUUGUGUUGGAAUUUCGAAGUUUCGUGUGCUUCUUGGCAUGCUGUUGCUGCGUCUGAAUAGCAGCAGGAGUUCUUCUUAUUGUUCCAAAGCUUCGGUUUCGUAUACACUUUGGCAGAAGAAAUUUCGAUAUAAAUUUUCGUCGUCCAAUUAUGUGCGAACAAAAAAGGAAAUACCGCGUUUACACACACCGACACAUACACACAGCUAUGCAGUGAAAAGUAAUAAUAUUCCUGUUCGUUUAUACUCGUCAGUGCGUGUGUAUGUGUAGAUAUUUUGCGAUUGCAUUUUCGGGAAAAUCGGGAUACACUCCAUUGCUCCACUUUCAGUGUCUAGCAAAAGAGAAAAAGGCUAAAAAUAAAAACAAAACAAACAAAAGAAGUAAAGGGAAAAGCAAGUUUGAGCAACAGUAAGCAAAGUACAAAUCAGUAAUAAAUGAUGAAAAAGCAGAAGUAAUGCGAUAAGUAAAAGUUAAAAAUUUGCAGACGCUCUUUGUUUGCGUAUAUAUAUAUAUAUAUAUAUAUAUAUAUAUAUAUUCGAGUAAAUCGCAAUGCAAGCAAAAGUGUAAAUUGCAUGUGCAUAAGGUGCAACUGCAAUCUGCCACCUGCCACUUGCCAGCACCAACACUUCACCCAAUAAAUCGCUAUAGCACGCCGCAAAGGCCAAAAAAAGCAUUGGAGUUACUCGUUUCGUGUGCGGUGAUUCGUAUCUACUCAUGUUUUGUUCGUUCGUAUUUACCGUUUUGAUGCUUUUACGCUUCUGAUUCGCUAAAUUCUACAUUGCGCUGCUCGUUAAGUGCAACUACGGGCUUAGUGAGUGAGUGUCGGUGUUAUAUAUUUUUUGUUUUGUUGGUUAAAAAUAAAUACUUUCGUAUCUACACAUAAGUAUUUACGUUUUACGUAUGUGCAACGGUUCCAUAUGCAUUGGAAUACUAUUUAAUGCCACAAACAAGUGAAAAAAACAUGUCAUAAGUGCUUGCAGAAAUCAUGCCACAAAGUCAGCAGCAGUGAAAUAUCGUCAUCUCCUCAGCAGCUGCAACUAACUAGAAAAAUUACCGUAUAGAACGUAUUCACAUAAGUAUGUGAAUAAUAAUCUAACAUAAUCCCUGAAGAAGACCAGUAUCUUGCAAAGAGUUAUAGAGCAGUGAGUGUGAAUAUGAAUUAUGAGUAUAUAUGAUGUCUAAUGGAGAUACGAAAUGCUCGUAUGCAAGCAUAAAAUCAAAUAAAUUACCUAUAUAUAUAUAAGUGCAAGCGCAUAGCCGCAAUGGAGAUGAAAAUGGAUAAUGCAUUAAAUUAGUAGUCAUUGCGAAUAAAUAAUGUACGAUUUUAUUUAAAAAUUAAUAAACUUGAAGUACGCAUAUUGGAACCACCAAAAUAUAUGUACAUAUAUAAAACGACCAGCAAUUGCAAUUAACAGCUAGUGGCAUUAUAACCGCUAGUUUGUACAUAUAAAAUACCAAACGGCAGUCGUAAUAAUAACAAAUAUUUUUCGCAGCAACAGCAAAAAAUAAAAACUAUAAUAUGCACUAUAUCGCACAGCAGGAUGCGUAUGUUAAUAAUUUAAAUACAGUUUCCUGUUAAUUUCGAACGCCAAUAAUUAUAAUUUGAAUUCGAAAUACAGUUAGUAUUCGUUAAUGCACAUGUAAAUAGUAAAGGCUAAAUAUGCGCCGAAUGCAAGCACACAUAUACAUAUAUACAUAUGUGCAUAUGAGUAAACGUUAGAUGGCAAACGCAAUCUACAUACAUAUACAUAUGUAUAUAUGUUUGCAAGUAUGAAAUAUGCAAAUGCAUACAAUAAAUGGAAUAAAAAAUAUUCAAAAUCCACAAACGUGCUAAAUGCAAGCGGUCAAGCGUGGAAAUUUGAUGUGAUUACGAGUUUGAAUGCGAAUGUAACAAAAUACAACAAAAUAAAAACAACAAACAACGUUUAUAACCGCAAACUGCUGCUAUGAAACAUCUUUUUUUGUAUCUAAAAGCUAUAAUAAAUUAAUAAUAAUAAUAAUAAUAAUAAUAAUAGCAAAAACAAAAACAAACAAAACAAGAACAACGGCUAAACUAAUACCAGCUUAUUUUGACAAAAUACAACACACUUAUAAAAUAAAAUAUUUAAAGCCAUUUUAAGCUGAGCAUAAAAAUCGCUCACACCAAAAUGUCAGUUAAGCCGAAUCUAUGGAAGCGUUGGAUGAACAAAUCAAGUAUGGACUUUACGAGCCUAGGUUGUUGUACGCUUGCUUUUGUAUUAUAUCUGAACACACUGAAAGCCGGAUUUGUUUAUGA
rnacentral:lncRNA from 1 species